AUCCUACUCACCAUAUUCAACCCUAAUCAAACUUAAAGAAGUUUUUAUAUUGCUUGGUGCCCGCAACAAACAAUGCAGCGGGCACUAGCAGAGGCGCAAGAACGUGUCGUUGAAUGUUCAUUCAACAUUCACUCACUUGGUGAAGCAAAGCAAAAGUUAGCGACAAAGAAGAUCAAAUCAUCUAAUAGUACGAAGAUCAUGCGUUGAACUUGAAUUCAUUCUUGUGUUGAAUUAUUGUCUAGCCUUCAAACUGGAAGAGGCUAUCUCUAUAUUCUUGCGGCAGACCACAAGGUACAAUGGGCGGUGCAUGUCGUGGCCGUUCGCUAUAAUGUUACUCACAUCCCAGAUUUAGCAGAAACAUGCUGCUCUCUUGUUCUACCACUCAGCUCCACAAUUAGAACAAAACUCGUAACCACAUCUGCAAGACAAUGCAAGCAUGGACAAACCACAAGGAUUGGUAUACAAAAUGAAAAUAGCAUACAAUUGUUUAGAUGAUUAGGAUCUCAUACAAUGCUUGCUAACAAAAGCAUGCAGAGAUUGGCUCUUUUGGUGGGUUGAUGGGCCAUUGGCAAUGUAGUUUUCUCACAUAUAAGAAGUCUGAGGAACUGAAUCUACUUGUUUCAUUCCUCUCUAAAUAAAAUUGCUUAUUUUAU